GACGAACGCUGGCGGCGUGCUUAACACAUGCAAGUCGAACAGUGGCGAACGGGUGAGUAACACGUGAGUAACCUGCCCUCCACUUUGGGCUCACUCCGAGAAAUCGGGGCUAAUACUGGAUUGUGGGGGAUGGGCUCGCGGCCAAUCAGUUUGUUGGUGAGGUAGUGGUCACCAAGGCGUGACGGGUAGCCGGCCUUAGAGGGCGACCGGCCACAAUGGGACUGAGACACGGCCCAGACUCCGACGGGAGGCAGCAGUGGGGAAUAUUGCACAAUGGGCGAAAGCCUGAUGCAGAGACGCCGCGUGGGGGAUGACGGCCUUCGGGUUGUAAACAUCUUUCAGCAAGGAAGCGGUACUUGAAGAAGAAGCGCCGGCUAACUACGUGCCAGCCGCCGCGGUAAUUC
rnacentral:rRNA from 1 species